GGGUCGCUAGCUCAUCGGGUAGAGCAGGGGACUUUUAAUCCUCAGGUGCCGGGUUCGAGACCCGGGCGACCCACGA
rnacentral:tRNA from 1 species